AGUGCUGCUUCUCAAAUCACAGCAGCCUGGACAUGUGAAGUACAUGGUCGUUAGCGUAACCGCGUCAGCAUCUCAGGUGACUGAGAUUUACUUUUCCUGCUGCUCACAACCUGGAAGCAGUACUUAGUUGUACAAGCUGCUGCGCAAAGGAUGUGCUUCCACGGAGAGAUGCAGAUCUUGGAGUACAGCAAAGGACAUCCAGCAAACAGCAGACAUCCAAAACCUUAAAAGUGCCUGGCGUGCAUUACAAUGUACCAGUUGUGUUUUCCACCUUCCUAAGGCCUUCCUGACAUCCAGCAAACAUGACCCAUAACUUUGAAAACACCUAGGAUGUGCAAGACUGUAUCGGUUAUGUGCCCCUGAGUACUAACAGUGUAAAGGGGGCUAGAAGACUGGGUUGCUGCCUGCCUGCUUGCCUGCCUCCCUGCCAGCUGCUCUGCCUGUGUAUCAGGUCCCCUACUUCAGCAUUAAAUCAUGUCAGAUAUA